rnacentral:rRNA from 1 species
GACGAACCGUACGAACGUUAUUCGGAAUCACUGGGCUUAAAGGGUGCGUAGGCGGCGCAGUAAGUUGGGUGUGAAAUCCCUCGGCUUAACCGAGGAAUUGCGCCCAAAACUACUGUGCUCGAGGGAGGUAGAGGUGAGCGGAACUUAGGGUGGAGCGGUGAAAUGCGUAGAUAUCAGGAGGAACACCGGCGGUGUAGACGGCUCUCUGGACCGUAACUGACGCUGAGACACGAAAGCGUGGGUAGCAAACAGG